CCAGGCUACUUGCAAUACUAAGAAGACCUCUCUUCCCUUCAUGAAUCUUUCUAAAGCCUAAUGCGGAGGUUAGGUGGGGAGACCUCAUUGGGAUCUGCAAGAGUCCCCUGUGUCCCCUCCUCCUCCAGGAAGCUUUCCCGGAUGCCCCAGGCUGGAUUUGAGGUCCCAUUGCUAUGCUCUCAAUGCACCCAGGAUUGGCCUCCACACUCUUCAUUCCCUGAAAUUGUUCACUUUCUCCUCCAUCUACUCUCCCCACCUCCCCCAGCCAUCACCACCCCCUGGGUGAUUAAAAUGUUCUAAAAUUGAUUGUGGAGGCCGGGCGCGGUGGCUCACGCCUGUAAUCUCAGCACUUUGGGAGGCCGAGGCGAGAGGAUCACGAGGUAAGAGAUCGAGACCAUCC
rnacentral:lncRNA from 1 species